GUCACGCCCACCCACUCCAUCUACCUACCCGGCCUCCUUACUCGCCAAAACACGUACCUACCCCCUAUCCCCACGACUCCUUCCGUCUAUCUAGACACGCUCGCGCGCACUGCCGCCCACGCGUGCUCGAUUUCUUCGUUUGUUCCACUAUAAGCAGCACACACCCUGCACGUACGGUGCGGGGGUGUGUGAGCACGGAGGUGUUCAAAACGACAUCCUCGUGUACGCUGCAGCCUGUUUUGCUCGCUGUGCGUGCCCGUCACUUUCUUUCUUGCGUGCCAUUGGCCAGCUGCGCGGUUUGCGCGUUGACACAGGCGCACAUACACACACACACACACACGUUAACUUAGGUAUUGUGCAGCUGCUGUGGAGUUGCUUAUCUGCUUCGAUCACUCUCCGUCUAUGUAUCAUCGUCGUCCACAUUUGGCGAGAGGCGGGCAGCUACACACAGUCAGGUACACACAUACACACGCAGACAGGGAAGGUCUCUCGUGAUCGUGAACUCGUGUGUCUGAGAAACGACGUCUGUUCUGUGUGGGGGGCUUGCAUGUGUCGUACAAUUGCGGAAACACACACACACACUCCCACACACACACACGAACCUCACGCAGUCAACGCAAGUACGCGAGGAGAACAAGAAGCGUUCAAACACGGCUUGCAGAGAAGAGCGAGACUAAGGAGCAAGGGAGAGCUACAGUGUGGCGGAGCUCGCUCGCUCUCUCUGUAUAUCUGUCUGCCGCUCCUCCCUUUUCUGCCGCCCUUCUCCACUAGACGAUUCGGAGGCAACGACAUCAGGAAAGGAGACGAUAGGAAGUCAUACAGAUCCACACACACACACACACAUACGCACACACACGUUUACAUAGGUAUAUGGAUUAUAUAUAUAUAUAUAUAUAAUCCAUAUACGGCGUCUGCGUCAACAGUAUCAUUGACGUGAAAAAGAUCGCUUCGUACAUUUUUUUUUGCUUGUAUAUAUUUACAAAUCCCUUCGCCGUCGUCUUCCCCAUCCCCUUUUCUUCGCGGUAACCAUCGCCAACCGUCAUCAUCCACGUUCGUCUUUCACCUCGCAUUCCCUUGUAAAGUGCCUCUUGUGCUUCUCCCCCCCCCCCACUCUCUGUGUGUGUCCGUGCCUGCCACUCCCUGUGCGCGUGUGUGCUCCUGCUGUUCCUUCGCUUCUUCUCCCUUUUCGCGUCUUUGCGCCGCUCUUUGGCGGAGAGGGAGAGAGAACGGGACGCUGUUGCUCUCUCACACGUAUAUUUGCAGUAGGCGCCACCACCUUAUCGUUCUCUCCGUCUACGCUUUUCCUCCUGCUUCCACUUCUUGCUCUUUUCCGUCUCGUAGUACACAGAUAUAUUGCUGUGCCUGUUGGAGUGGUGGAGGGCGGGGUCGCACGUGUGCUCUCGCAUCCGCGUGCGCGGCGUUUCCCUGCUAUAGCUGUCCUUGCAGUGGUACGAAGGGAAGGGGGUGGGGACGCGUUUACGUGCUCGCGCGCACAUAGGCGCAUCAAUAAAUACAGAGGAAAAGGCAGACAAGAGGUUGAGGAAGGGGACAACUUCGCCGCAACGGGAAGGAGGAGUAGGAGCGAGUGUUAGUGGUGGGAGGACGUCGAAACAAACGUAGAGGGGGCCGCAAUCGUUUCGCGUACCGAGGCCUUGCGUGCAUCUCUUUCUGUCUUCUUAUUCUCUCUCUAUCUGUCACUCAGCGUACUUUAUAUUUCUUCGUGCGCUCCGGUCGCGUGCGUGUCGGCCACGCGUGCCGUUCGCUUACACACGCACCUGAAGAGGCAAAAGGCCUGCCACCACCCACCACCUCCUUUUUGUUUUCGCGCCCAGAGGAAUUGCCUGUGGCUUCGUGGCCUCUCUCCGUUCGUGUUUCUCUUGCCAGUGGGGGGGCAGAAGAGUACAUCAAUAACGAAAAAAAUCGAGAGUUGGAACCACCAGGAGGAUAUAUAUAUAUAUAUAACCAAAAGUACUACUUUCUGGCUGGUGGCUGCCGUUCUCACGUCGUGUCGCUCUCCCUCUCCGCGUGUGCGUGUGUGCGACGUGUCUGUCGUUUGUUUUGUGCCGCUUUUUCUCUGCCGUCUUCCCUCCUCUUUGUGUGUCGCCGUCGCCAAGCCCCCUCCCCCUUUUCUCCCUCUUCGCAUUUGUUUUUCUUUCGCCUCUUAAACCUGCUUCUGUUGUGUGCUGUCGUGGUACUCUCGUCUCUUUCUCUGAUUUCUGUCUUUACUCGUGCUCCAUUCUGUUACCUCCUCUUUUUCCCUGUCUCUCACCUUUUUCCCUGUCUCUCACCUUUUUCCCUCCCUUCCCUCCCUCCCUCCCUAACCCUCUCGUGUGUCUGUCCUCCGUUGUCGCGUUCUCUCUCUCCUGCUCGUGCGCUGUUCGCCUUUUCAGCAAUCGCCUUCACGGGGCGAAUACAGAAAAUAAGGCACACGGGUUAUUGCUGUUAUCGACUUAGUCGAUCCCUCUCCCUCUCCAUCUCUUUUUGUUUGUUGUUUGCGUUCUUUUUCUUUUAUUCAUCCACCUGUGCGUGUCUCUGGAACACCUCUUCUGCCUUCCCCCUCCCUCCUUCUCCCUCUAGCGGUGUGUGCCUUGCCUCUCUUACCCUCUUUUUUAUUGGCCUGAUUUCUCCCUCUUUUCCUGCUUAUACUCCUGACAUUCUUUGUUUGCUGGCGCUUCGCUUUCUUCGACGCUCGCCGGAGCUCUCACGCGCACGCAGAUACACUCUCGUUUCUAUUCCGCUCUUGACAUUCUCUUUGUUCAUUGUUUUUUCUGUGCGCGCCUCCGAUUCAGUGCUGCCCCUCCCCGCCUUCUUCUGUUUUCCGUCUUCUUUUCGCUCAUCGACAUUCGCUUUUACGAGUUCCUUUCUGUGUGCGUGUGUGUUUUUUAUUGGUUGUGGUGCACGCGCUCUUGCGCUGUCGCUUUUUGCCUCGUUUGCUUUGGCUUGGUUUGCUUGGAGACCUCUCUUGUUUCUCUCUCUCUGACGGCACACACACACACACACAUCCUCCUCCUCCUCCUCCUCUCGCUCGUCGUCUCCCUUCUCUUCUCCGUUUGAAUACCUGUCCCCUUCGUUGGCUGAUUGACUCGAGCGUCUCGCUGUUCUGCGUUUUCCCCUUUCGUUUUUUUUUUGCUUGGCUGUUGUCUGCGCCUCUCCACUUCAUUUUGUUUUCUGGUUUCUUUUUCGUAUUUGUUUUGUCUCGGUGUGAGUCGGUCUGUAUGUCUGUGUGUGUGUGUGCUCGUGCUUGUGAAAGGUUGCGCCCCUCCAUCUUUUAUUUUGUUUCCUUUCUGUGUGUGCGCCUUUCUCUCUCUCUCGCUGUGCUGCGUCUUUGACAGUGACAUUCCCUUCCCUCCCUGUCUGCGUAUUGCUCUUCUGCCCAGCUCCGCCUUUCUUGUAUUCGCGAGCUCUCUACCCCUCCUUUCCCACAGAUUACGUCUUCGCGCGUUUUUUCUGUUGAUCUUGGUUGUUGCGGCUCUGUGGCAGACGGGCGGCGAGAUUUCGUUUCUCUCUUGAGUCUUUGCGGUGCCUCUUGCGUUCUCUCCCUCAGCGCGACCGCCACCCUUACCCCCCCCCCAUCUCGGGCGCCUCCCUCCAUCACACGGCUCUCGUUUGCCUUUCGCUUCCGGUUCUCCUGCACGGGGCGUUGAAGGGCUCCUCCUUCUCGCCCUGCACUCUGUCCUCCCCCUUUUUUUUUCGGUCGCCUACACAUUAUAAAUAUUCCUUGUAUUCGUUCUUUCGUUCUCUCUGUACGUGUGCUUCCGGCUGUUUCGUGAGCGACGGCGUUCCUUGCUGCUUGUCUCUCCGCGUCUCUGCGUCCGGGUUCGUUUCGAAGGAAGGCACACGCAAGGUAACACGUGCCUGUUUCUACAGCAGAAGCUGUUUGCUCUUGCGCCUUCUUGAAUCCCUUAGGCUUUACACACACACACACACACACACACACACACACAUCUUCAGGCGUCAGCAGCUGCCUUCUUUUUUUUCUUCCUUCUCCCCUCUCUCUCUCUGCUCCCCCUUUCAAGCCCAAGCGCACACGGGCAGGCAGGGAGUGCGAAGCGAGCCGCCGGUAAACCAAAAAGUGGAGAGGAGGUUCGCAAAGGGCCCGUUGCCUGCCGCCUCCCCUCCCCAGUCCCACUCGUGUCCUCGCUCGGUGCUCGUACUCGUUUUGGCUGUUGUGCGUGUGUGCGUGUGUGGGCACGAGCACCGUGGCCUCUGCUUUGUUCUCUGCCGCUGUGCGCCGUUACGACAGACGCACGCAUACAUACAUACAUAUAUAUAUAUAUUUCUUUGUGGCGCCUCCUCAUCGUCUGCUCCCUCUCUCACUCGAACAUUUGCGUACGCGCCCAACUCGUGCAUCCGUGCGAGAGAAGAGAGCAGGGGGGGGAGGGGCGACAGAAGCGGAAGGGGACGACGACGUGAUGCCGUCGGUUUCAAUACGCGCCGACCCUGUCGGGGAGGACCAGAUUUUUGUGCUGCGAAUCCUCUCCUUGACGUCGCGCCGCGCUGCCGCCGUGAAGGACCGCGCCAAGGCCGCAGCUGCGGCAGCAACGCCGUCGGGGCUUUCAAAGAAGUUUUCGCAUCCUUCCCUGAGCUCUUCCUUUGAGAGGAGCGGCGCUGGCGGAACGCUGAGCAAGCGGGAGAGUCCUGAGAGCACCGCUGGCGCCUGCGACAGCGAUGGCGCCGGCGCGCUUGUGAUGGGCACGGCGCUGCUGACGGAGUCAGCGGACGAGGGCGCAACGACUACUUCACACUCCCACGCCUCGCACAUGCUGCACGCACCUGGCGGGUGCAUCGAGCGUGAAUGUGGUGUCGAAAGCGCUGAAGCGCCGCUCCUCGCCUCCGCUGUUUCGCCGAGUGCAAAGGGGGAAAUGACGAACCCAGCCGACGCCCCGGAGUCGCCGCUCUUGGCGACGUCGCCCAUAUCUGCUAUGCGGCGCGCUAUGGAAAAAGGCGCGCGCCCCGUGCGCCGCCCGCGCACCACGCCCGCCUCCUCGCCCUUUGCACGCACUCGGAGUGGGAGUAGUGGCGAUCCCAGCGAAGCCGCCAAGGCGGCAGCGUUGCGGCGCGAUGCCGUGCGUCGUACCUUGUCAUUGCUGGGGCUUCCCACCUCCGCCGGCGUCUCUGCUGGUUUGGACCGUUACGAGGUUGCGGCGCCGUCGUCCUCUCAGGCGCCGGGGGGCGGGGCUGGCGUCGAUGAGCACGCGCUCACCACGACAGUGUCGCCGGUUAGUGCUGGGGGCCGCUCGGGGUCAGCACGGGCACCUGAAGCGUCCCGGUCACCUGCGGUAUCGGCCCCGGCGACGCCGGUCGAAAGCACGCAGGGCAAGAGCGACGCCGGCUGCCCUGGCUCGCCAGUGGUGGUGAAGACGUUUGGUGCCUUUCUGCAGCUCUUGCAACCAGCUCCGCCGCCCCCAAGCCUGGUUGUGCCACUGCCGGGCCCCAAGACCGCAAGCGCAGCCCCGCGCUCGACAAUGCGAGACAAUGUGGCAGGCAGUGGCCAGCCAUCUUUUACAACGCCCCCACCGCCGCAGCCGCAGCUGUCGUUGCCAAUAGACAGCGCGUUUCGCUCUGUGCCGUCUCUGCCGCCACCACCGACACCGCCGCCACCGUACGUGGCGACUCCGGUUCCGCAGGCAACCUUUGGCGCCGGGACCUUCACCACUGCGCAAGACCUCGUAGCGCAUGUGCGCCUGCUUCUGCCGUGGACAGUAGUUGCAGCAAAGAGGCGGCGUCGCAUGCUCGGUGGCGCAGACGAGUUCGCCAAUGACUUGGCAUUGUCACCGCUGUCGUCGUCCUGGCGUCCGAUCCCGGCUGCCUCGGAGCGCGCCACGAGUGCGAAUUCGCCGUCGUCUGCGCAGUCGCCGCAGCGCCGCGUACUGUCGACGGACUCCGCCGCCACCACAAACAGCUCCUCUUUCAUGGACGACGAAGUCACGCUCGUCAGCGACCGCGUGGACGCGGUGCUGCCGACUUGGGCGUACCUGUCCUCACACAUUGCCGACGCCGCCCCGCCGACACUCGUCCUGUCGGUCCCCACCUUCGCUCUUGCGAGGGAUGACUCCCUCACGAUGACCUCGACGGGGAGCGGCCGACACCGCCGCACCCACAGCCCCCAGAGCAGCACGGCCAGCUCUGUGGUCGGUGGAGUACCACCCCCACUCCUGUCAAUGGCAGCGGCCCCCCUUAUUAUGGACGAGCGCACGGAUCGGCAGUCGUGCUUGUACCCGUACGAGCUGGCGGAGGCCUGCGCGCUGGCUCGACUACGACGACCUAAGUCGAAGACAGCGGCUGCGGCUGCAUCGGCGCGGAGCUCUCUGCACCUGCUCCGACUGGAGCUGCAGGUCGAUGUGCAGCAUAUUCCACCCACAGUGAGGAACGUUGCACCGGCACAGCGGCAGUGCAUUCUAGAUCAGGCCCUUACCGAGUUCACGCUGACGGGCGUGCUGUCCACCACGGUGCUGCGAGGCGUGCUGAACGACGCCGCGCUGCGGUUGUUGGCCAGCGUGGACGAUGAGGUGUUGCGACGGAUCGCCGGGGAGGUGGACCAGGCCAGCCAAGCAGAGGUGGAGCCCUGUGAAGGUGGCACAUCGAGCGUCUCGGCAGUGCCCGCUGUCACCGAUCAAGCCGGCCGCCAGCGCGUUGUGCCGCUCAGCCUCCAAGUUCACGCGCUCCAAGGGGAGCCGGGCAUUGCUGCGGGGGCCACGGCGGGCCCGCUGCUGUCGAGCACUUCGGUGCACUCCGCGACGACUUCGACCGUCUCUGGCGAAACAGACUCGCCGCGUCACAUGCCGAUGGUGCCCACCGUCACGCCGACGCGACUGGUCCUCAUGGUGCUCGUGCACGUGCAACACACUGCGACAACAUUGGCAGCUCCUGAGGCCCAGGAGACGCCGAGGGUGCAUGGCGAGCAGAGGCCGCAGCCGAAGGGACACGAUCGGGAGCGCGCGGCCGAGACGGUGGAGGCUUCUUCCUCGUCCUCCGCUGCGGAUGCAGCGACUCGGAUGGACGAAAACGCCGCCGUGUCCUUAGCCAGCGCCGUUGUACCGCAUCUCUUCCCGCUCACCUUCGGGCUUUCACGCUUCACUACAAGGCUCUCUCUCUCCAGCGCCGUCGACUACGAUGCCCUGUGCACCGCAACGAGGACUAGCGAUACUGAGAGCUGGCCAAGCUCUGCCGCGGAGGCUGCGGAAGAAGUUGCCGCCGCUUCGGCGGAAACCUCAGGAAGGCGAGCGGCAGAGUUCAGUGAAGGCUCAACUGCGACAACGACUGAGGAGGGCACACGCAUAACCGGCGCAGAAGCGGCAGCGCAGCCGUGGUCGUGGCAGGACAUCUCCGUCGGCUCUGUGCGGGCGUGGUGCGGCCUACCAGAGCUGAAGCCGCCUCCAACGCCGGCGGCGGUGGCACCCUUCUCCUCUUCCCCGUUGGCGUUCUCGCGGGUGGUGAGUCCCAUGGCUGUAGGGGCGGGCGGCACGGCAAGCAUGAGCGCUUCGCUCUCGUCGCAGCCGACGCCGAAGCGGCAGUGGCCGCUUCAGAAGAUGGUUCCUGAAGCUGCCACCGCUGCCGUUCCCGAGAGCGAGGCAGUCCGCGAUGCCGCGGCUGACCAGGCAGUGGCGCUUGAGCGUGAGGCGAAGGGCCAGCUGGGCUUGGAGGGCAAGGAAGAGGGCGAGUUGGACGACAGCGGCGCCAUAAGCGAGACGCUGCGGCGCUGUGAUGUAGGCAAAGAGACGGUGGUGCUGACGAGUGUCGUGGAGGCCGUGCACCGUUGCGUCGACGCGCUGUGCGGGCACGCCAGGCUGCUGCGGGCGCUCAUGGAGACGGGCGAGGCUGAAGUGGAAGCCGGCGAGGCCAGCAACGGAGUUAUCGGCUGCUGGGGCUCAGAGAACGAGGGGAAGCUCCAGGAGGAGACACCUGCUGGCCAGCAGUGCACGGUGGCGUUCGCGGAGACCGGCUGCACUUCAAAGGCAGACGCUGCUCAUGGCUGCCGUUGCGUCGACGAUCAUGCUUACCUGCAAGACAUCAUGGCGGCCACCCAGCAGGUGCUCGUAUGCGGGCUGACGCGCUUGCUUAUCGUCGGUCUCUCCGUGCCAGAGCCCGCCAAAGGCAGCGAGGUGCCUGUCUCAGCGGAGAGUGCGGCAGCCUGCGAUGCCGAGAAGCGAAGCGCAGGCUCUCGCUCUGUCCUUUUUUCCAUGCUCGCUAGCGCCGAGGAUAGCGAUGGCAACGCCGCAGCGCGCACUUGCGGCAUUGCACAGCAGCUGCGACGCUGGUUCUCUGUGUACGGCCGCUACCUUGCCGAGCGUUUGUGUGCCCCGCUGGAGCAGCUCGAGGCGUUCAUCGCAGAGACCACUGGCAGUGCCGCCGCGACGCCGAAGACCGCAAAGGCGAUAUCCGGCAUGUUUGAAAACGGCCACAAAAGCCUGAGUGACGUGCCGAGCACCUCACGCCGAGUGGUACUUGGGGCACAGGUGAUGGUGAAGGAAAAGCGCCGCCACCGCCGCCACACUGCGGGCGUGAAAGCCUCACAGGAUGGCGCUAAGUGGGACGGCGCCGCGAAGUCCGAGGAGGCGGACGCGUACGCCGUGGACUCUUCCGUGCUGCCCGCCUUGUCUAUCGCAAAGGCAACCGUGCAGCUGUGCCGCACGAUGGCCGGCACAUUGCCCCCGCUGUACGAUGCAGGCACUGUUGCUUCUUGUAAGGAGCCGUCAAGCCUCCAGCACACACCGACGACGUCCACCGACGGCGACGGCUUGGCAACGAUGUCGAACACAGCCUCGCUAAGUCAGCCUCACUGCCGCCAGCACUACCGCUCCACCUCACGUACGCUUUCUGCCUCCAUGCGCACGGCCGGUGCCACUGCCGGCGCUGUGCACCCCCUUCACGAGCGCGUUGCCCCUCUUAUAGACGCAAUUACCAGCGUGUUAAGACUCUUUGAGGCGGAGGAGCGACGGUGGGCAGCGCUGCAGGAGCCGCUGGCGUGCCUGAGAGGACACUGGCGGGACAUGCGGGCGAUCAUCAACGAGGAGUGUGUCCAGCGGUGUGAGGUAGGGCAGUCGUCGCUGGUGGCCUUAGAGAGGCAGAUGCGAGACACGCUGGCAAUGAGGGAGGUACGUGGAUGGUCAUCGAUCGUGGCGGAAGAGGUCGCUGCUGCCGCCCCCGCCGUUGCACUCGCCGUUGAGGGCGAGUCUUCAUCAGCGGAGCCGGCUGAGCUCGGCGAACUCACUGUUCCAGCGAGCCAGCCUCGUACGUCCAGCCAGCGUAGUGUUGCCCAGCAGCCCACACUGACGCCGAUAGUCACACUGCCGUUAAUGCCGGACCUUAGUGGCGCACACUUGCCCCCGACGCAUUCCCUCAAGGUACUGCAGAGGACAGUGAUUAUGGCGGAGGCGUGCAAGGGAGAGCGAGCCGCGGCGGGCUCGGACGAACAUGUGGAGGUGGCGGUGGAGGAGACGCUGCUGUCGCCAUCGCCGCCGACGCCGUCGCAUGCAUCGGACGUCGAGAGCGAGGAGCCAGAGGCGGCGGAGGAGGGCGAGUUGAAACACGCAUGCGCUGAGGAUGUCGUCAUGGCCGAGGAUAGCGAGGCUGGCGAGAGUGGCGACGACGGCAUCGAGGCAGCAGCCGAGAAACUGAAUAACCGACCCACGGCGUCCGCGGAGGCAGCGGCGCCACCUCUGUCGCCACUCCUCUCCGCCGCAACGUCCAGCCACCUCGCCACUACCCUGAUGCAACAGCACAGGCCGCAGCGCAACCAACCGAAGCAGAGUGGCCGCGCGAAACGGUCGGGCCAGGCUCCGAUGACACAGCCGCACUCACAGACUCAGUCCCAUGCCAAGGCAGCAGGCUCACGUGCGCAAGCCUCGAAAAGCAGCGCUACGCCUCCGAUAUCUCUGCAAAACUCGAGAGCGCCUCCAGCAGCAUCAAACAGCACUGCGCGACCGUCGCAGCAGCGAGGCACCGCCUCCGCCGAUUACGGUGCCGGCGCCGCGGCGUCUGUGUGGGGCGCACUGGCACUUGCGGUGCGCCAGGUGCAGCGGCGCAGCACGGCGGCGCCGCUGUACGUGGAUGUGGUAGUGCUCCGCCAGGCCACCCCGUUCGUGGCCGUCGGUGCUGUUCUUUUCUUUCUCCUUCUCUUCCUGUAAAGGCAGCGAUGAUGGAUCGUGCGUGUCGCAGGGACCGUGCCGCGGAUGUUCUUGGUGCUUCUCCACGCCCGCACACGCGCGCAUGCAUCCGCGUGAGCGCCGCGUGUUAUCGAUUUUGUUCCAUUGCUCUUCGAGAGUACCUUACAAACCGCAUAGCCGGUGUCAUGUGGUGUGGUGGAGUGUCGUCUCGGCUGCUGCGCCGUGUGUGUGUGUGUGCGUGUCUGGUGGUGAGACGUCUGUUUUCGCCAUCGAUACAGGUGAAAGGUGGAGCACGAGACGACCGCGAGAAGGAAGCGAGACGAAACGCUGCCACCGUGUCGCCCCCCCUGGCGCAGAAACAAGUUUUUUUUCGAAGCAGCAGACGGGCGGCCACCAGCAUGCGUGACUAGCAGUGCACCGCGCGGCCUCCACGGGCGCGGUGAAGGCCGUAUCGUAACGCGUUAU
rnacentral:misc_RNA from 1 species